rnacentral:rRNA from 1 species
CCUACGGGUGACAGCAGUGAGGAAUAUUGGUCAAUGGCCGGAAGGCUGAACCAGCCAUGCCGCGUGAAGGUCAGUGCCCUAUGGGCGUUAAACUUCUUUUGUGCGGGAGCAAUAAUGGUCACGUGUGGCCAGACGAGAGUACCGUACGAAUAAGCAUCGGCUAACUCCGUGCCAGCAGCCGCGGUAAUACGGGGGAUGCAAGCGUUAUCCGGAUUUAUUGGGUUUAAAGGGUGCGUAGGCUGUGAGGUAAGUCAGCGGGGAAAUGCCCCCGCUCAACGGGGUGAAGUGCCAUGGAUACUGCCUUGCUGGAAUGCGGAUGCCGUGGGAGGAAUGUGUGGUGUAGCGGUGAAAUGCAUAGAGAUCACACAGAACACCGAUUGCGAAGGCAUCUCACGAAUCCGCGAUUGACGCUGAUGCACGAAAGCGUGGGUAUCAAACAGGAUUAGAUACCCGAGUAGUC